GAUGAAGAACGUAGCGAAAUGCGAUAAGUAAUGUGAAUUGCAGAAUUCAGUGAAUCAUCGAAUCUUUGAACGCACAUUGGGCCCCUUGGUAUUCCGAGGGGCAUGCCUGUUCGAGCGUCAUUAUAACCCCUCAAGCUCAGCUUGGUGUUGGGGCCUGCUGCACUGGCAGCCCUUAAAAUCAGUGGCGGCGCCAUCUGGCUCUAAGCGUAGUAAUUCUUCUCGCUAUGGAGUCCUGGUGGAUGCUUGCCAUCAACCCCCAAUUUUUCUAUGGUUGACCUCGGAUCAGGUAGGGAUACCCGCUGAACUUAAGCAUAUCAAUAAGCGGAGGA
rnacentral:misc_RNA from 1 species